CCUACGGGUGGCAGCAGUAGGGAAUAUUGCUCAAUGGGGGAAACCCUGAAGCAGCAACGCCGCGUGGAGGAUGAAGGUUUUCGGAUUGUAAACUCCUUUUGUUAGAGAAGAGAAUGACGGUAUCUAACGAAUAAGCACCGGCUAACGCCGUGCCAGCAGCCGCGGUAAUACGGAGGGGGCAAGCGUCACUCGGAAUCACUGGGCGGAAAGAGCGCGUAGGCGGGAUAGCAAGUCAGAUGUGAAAUCCUCUGGCUUAACCAUAGAACUGCAUUUGAAACUGUUAUUCUAGAGUAUGGGAGAGGUAGGUGGAAUUCUUGGUGUAGUGGUCCAAUCCGUAGAGAUCAAGCGGAAUACUCAUUGCGAAGGCGACCUGCUAGACCAUAACUGACGCUGAUGCGCGACAGCGUGGGGAGCAAACAGGAUUAGAUACCCUAGUAGUC
rnacentral:rRNA from 1 species